UAGGGAAUCUUCGGCAAUGGACGGAAGUCUGACCGAGCAACGCCGCGUGAGUGAAGAAGGUUUUCGGAUCGUAAAGUUCUGUUGUUAGAGAAGAACGUUGGUAGGAGUGGAAAAUCUACCAAGUGACGGUAACUAACCAGAAAGGGACGGCUAACUACGUGCCAGCAGCCGCGGUAAUACGUAGGUCCCGAGCGUUGUCCGGAUUUAUUGGGCGUAAAGCGAGCGCAGGCGGUUCUUUAAGUCUGAAGUUAAAGGCAGUGGCUUAACCAUUGUACGCUUUGGAAACUGGAGGACAUAAGUGCAUAAAGGGAGAGUGGAAUUCCAUGUGUAGCGGUGAAAUGCGUAGAUAUAUGGAGGAACACCGGUGGCGAAAGCGGCUCUCUGGUCUGUAACUGACGCUGAGGCUCGAAAGCGUGGGGAGCAAACAGG
rnacentral:rRNA from 1 species